AUGUCAAAUUUCAACAAAAAGGACAUUUGGAUAAUGAGCUGUAAGCUCUUCAGAGAUGAAGUCUCUUGCAGUGAGAGCAAGACAGAAACCCUGUUGGCUCGGGGGGAGACUCAAAAGGCAGCUCCUCCCAGAGUCAUGCAGUGCAGGAUUCCUUCCAGACCAAAGUCACAAGGGUUACAUAGUCUACAUAUAGAUGCAUUGUUCCAAUCAUCCCAUCUCACCAAGACAUCUCAAAACACCCAAGAUCUGAUACUUUCUGUGGAGGAACUGUUUUCCCAUACAGACUGUACAGGAGAUCAGAGAUACAUGACUAUGAUAAUACUAGCCGGUUUCAGCUGCCAAAUGCACAACAGGAAAGUGAGACCCUCUUCAAAGUAAAAGCUAUCAUCAGUAAAAUAUGGUUGUAAAAUUGAUGUUCUCUCAAAGCAAACCUAAGCCUUUUACAUAAAACUUAGAGGAAACAAGAAAAGCAGAGUGUGGAAGGCUACAGAAUGAAGGCAAACGCAACAAUUUUUAAAUGGAAUUUGAAGCUCGGACAAAAACUAUGGCCUUUGGACCUCACUGAAAUUUUAUUUGAGCACAGUAGUGACUUUUUUUACUGCUCUAAUGCACAGGAAUGUGUCCUAGAGAGUGCACUGACAGCUAGUCAGCCUCCUGGGUGUUGCAGAGUAAGACAACCAAAUGGCUUUGCAGGAGAACUUCUCGAGUGCAGCCAGUGAGUCACAACAAACAUGCAUGCAGCAAACACCAUGAUCUCUGUAUGCUGUCCUGAUCACUUCACAUAGUCAAGGCUAGAAAAUACAGGUCUUAUUUUUGCUUUCAUCUUACAUGUUGAUUUUUUGUCUGAAAAGACCCUUGUUACAGAAGCUGUAGCUCAAAAUCUGGGGAUGUUCAUUUCCUCUGAAGUGAUAAAUGGCCAAUUCAUAACAGGGCUGGUUGGAGAACCAGCAAUCAAUACAGACACUAAAGUAUGGUUUAGAUGGCCAUUCUGGUUUUUAUCCGUGUGCACAGACAACAAUAACACCAAAACACAAGUAUCAGAGUAUUAUGUGGUUACCUCAUCUCUCUUUACUAAGGAACACUGCCCUUCAUCAGUGUCAUCAACAAAUCAAUUGGUCGCUUAAGAUGUCUGUAAGUGCUCAUCUUGUCUUUCACUUGAAAUGUAUUGCAACCAUUUUUCCCUUACAUUUCACAUAAAAAGGAUUUGCUGAAGCUCUGCAACUGGGAUAAACCAAAGAACCGAUUUACUGAAAUAGCAUAGAAAUGGUUUAAUAUUGCAGUGGUGUCAACAAAGCUGAUUUUUUAAAAUAUCCUCUUGACAACAAAAGAAAAAUAUCCAUUCCAAAGCUAUGCAUAAUGGGAGUCUUUUUGAAAAAGUUUUCCCACCUGUCUAAUGGGGAAAACAACAUUCACCUGAAGGGUGAUGGGAUUUGGAUCUACAAAGACUUCACUAUUAACUCUAUUUUCAAAAGUGAAGUGACAACCAACACUAAGAAAUAAAACUAUCUUCUUUGGCA
rnacentral:lncRNA from 1 species